CACACACCUGACCAGACGCCGCAUGAAGCAUCACGAUUAUCAGACUGUUGAUUUAUGAACGUUUCCAAAUCUGUCUCACCAUCUGACGAUCAGUUCUGAUGGAAGAAACUGCAGCCUUCCUGCUGGCUGCGUCUAGGAUCCGUCCUGUCUGAUGUGUCAGUGAGUAACGUGUUGGUGAUGAACCUGCAGAGAAUCACCAGAGACUCUGCAGCUCCUCUCGGCUUUACGGAGCUUUAUACAUGUUCCAACGAUGAGCUCAAUGAUAAAGCAGCUGGUUGGUGGAUCGUGUUUGGAUGGAGGACGGUGAGGAUUCAAUAAUCCAGAGCAGAUGAAUCACAAAGUGAAUGCAGGAUGACACAGUGAUCUCCCAGCAUGCACUGCUGCUCCUCCACUGGGUGUCCGUAUUCGAUCCGAGCAGCGGCAGCGGCUCAAUAAAACAUGCAGCGUGUUGAAGGAAGUCCAGCUGAGUGAGAUCUGAACAGAGAGGAGGGUUGAAUUCCCUGUUUGGCUCAGCAGCUACAGGAAGGAGCUGAGAACAUGCUACGCUAGCCCAAUGAACCCACUGACAAAGCUAACGUUAGCAUGACGCAACACUUUACAUCUAAUAGAAGAAAACAACAAACCAGAUUCCAGCUCAACAUCAGGAAGACAAAGGAGCCAGAAGAGGCCCCCAACUGCCUCCACCACUGCCAUGACUGAACCCAGUAUGACCCAGUAUACUUUAAGACCUUUAACUACUGAAUCCUGCAGGAACUCGUAGCUGCUGUACAGUCAGACAGUUUGUUUCCUGGGUCAUGAUGAUGAGAGCAGAUGUGAUGAAGAAUGAAGGUGAAGUUAACAUGAUGCUGCCUCACAUGAUGUCCUCCAAUGAACCGAGUUUAAUCUCCUCAAAUCACUUUAUUUAUGUACAGAGGCAACGUUUACAGUGAGGAGGAGGAAGAGGAGGAAGAGGAGGAGGCAUAGUCUCAGUCUCAGAGGAUGUUUCCACAUGAGGAGGAUUAAUCUGAUUGGUUAACAGGGUUCACUGUUUCCAGAGUGGAGAGUGUAAUUCAGCAGGAUGUAAACAGGGUCACCUCCCCUCUGCCUCCUCGUUCUUCUUCUUCUCUGUCAACAGGAAACAGGUUGAACACCUCUGUGUGUGUGUGUGUGUGUGUGUGUGUGUGUGUGUGUGUGUGUGUGUGUGUGUGUGUGAGGAUGACAUCAUGCUGUGUUGUGUAGUUUUGUUGGACGUCUCCUUCCUCUGCAUGAGGAAGAUGAGCUGAAGGUUAAAAUGUUUCCUGUUCGUCAUCAUUUAUUCACUGAAUCUGUUUAUUUGGUUACUUUCUGUGUGAUAUUUUGACUUGUUUCACAGAUAAACUGCAGGCUGCAGCUGUUUUCUUGCUCCUUUACGUCUGUUCAGUAAAGUACAGUCGGAUCCGGCUGCGUCUCGUCGUCUCCGUCUGUCUCUGAGGGUGAAACAAAGACUUGUAGCGAACCGUGUUUGACAAAUGAAGCUGUAAUUAUUGGAUUUGUUGGGUGAGUGUUGAACCCAAACAUCCUGUUCUCAACAGUCUGAUAUAAACAUGUGAGACGUUCCAGAGACUCUGUUUAUCUCACACUCAGCAAACUGCAGAGACAAUCUGAAGAGAAUCAUCCUGCUUCCCAGCAGCGAUCAGAUCCUCCUCUUCCUCAGUGACACAUCCAGGCUCAACAGGAAGUCCAGACGUGUCUGCUCG